AAGGAUGAAAUCCAAAAAAUAAACGAAAGGAUGCGCUGCUGUGUGUACUGUAGAGCCUGACGAUGUCGGCAGGCUCUAUUUUUUU
rnacentral:sRNA from 1 species